rnacentral:rRNA from 1 species
AUUGAACGCUGGCGGCAGGCCUAACACAUGCAAGUCGAACGAGUGGCGGACGGGUGAGUAAUGUCUGGGAAACUGCCUGAUGGAGGGGGCUAACUACUGGAAACGGUAGCUAAUACCGCAUACCAUCAGAUGUGCCCAGAUGGGAUUAGCUUGUUGGUGGGGUAACAGCUCACCAAGGAGACGAUCCAUAGCUGGUCUGAGAGGAUGACCAGCCACACUGGAACUGAGACACGGUCCAAACUCCUCCGGGAGGCAGCAGGGGGGAAGAUUGCACAAGGGGCGGAUGUCUGAUACAGCCAUGCCGCGUGGAUGAAGAAGGCAUUCGGGUUGUAAAGUACUUUCAGCGGGGAGGCGUUACCCGAAGAAGAAGCACCGGCUAACUCCGUGCCAGCAGCCGCGGUAAUUC